UGGGUUGUAGCUCUGUGGUAGAGCACUGGCCUAGCAUGUGUGAGGCCCUGGGUUCAAUCCCCAGCACCAUAU
rnacentral:tRNA from 2 species